rnacentral:rRNA from 1 species
GAUGAACGCUAGCGGCAGGCCUAAUACAUGCAAGUCGGACGGGAUCCAGGGGGUAGCUUGCUACCUUCUGGUGAGAGUGGCGCACGGGUGCGUAACGCGUGAGCAACCUACCCAUAUCAGGGGGAUAGCCCGGAGAAAUCCGGAUUAACACCGCAUGACACAGCAACCCCGCAUGGGGACACUGUUAAAUAUUCAUAGGAUAUGGAUGGGCUCGCGUGACAUUAGCUAGUUGGUGGGGUAACGGCCCACCAAGGCGACGAUGUCUAGGGGCUCUGAGAGGAGAAUCCCCCACACUGGUACUGAGACACGGAUCAGACUCCUACGGGAGGCAGCAGUAAGGAAUAUUGGUCAAUGGGGGCAACCCUGAACCAGCCAUGCCGCGUGCAGGAUGACUGCCCUAUGGGUUGUAAACUGCUUUUGUCGGGGAAUAAACCCCACUACGUGUAGUGGGCUGAAUGUACCCGAAGAAUAAGGAUCGGCUAACUCCGUGCCAGCAGCCGCGGUAAUACGGAGGAUCCGAGCGUUAUCCGGAAUCAUUGGGUUUAAAGGGUCCGUAGGCGGUCUUAUAAGUCAGUGGUGAAAUCCGGCAGCUCAACUGUCGAACUGCCAUUGAUACUGUAAGACUUGAAUUACUGUGAAGUAACUAGAAUAUGUAGUGUAGCGGUGAAAUGCUUAGAUAUUACAUGGAAUACCAAUUGCGAAGGCAGGUUACUAACAUUAUAUUGACGCUGAUGGACGAAAGCGUGGGUAGCGAACAGGAUUAGAUACCCUGGUAGUCCACGCCCUAAACGAUGAUAACUCGAUGUUGGCGAUACACAGUCAGCGUCUUAGCGAAAGCGUUAAGUUAUCCACCUGGGGAGUACGCCCGCAAGGGUGAAACUCAAAGGAAUUGACGGGGGCCCGCACAAGCGGAGGAGCAUGUGGUUUAAUUCGAUGAUACGCGAGGAACCUUACCCGGGCUUGAAAGUUACUGAAUUAUCUAGAGAUAGAUAAGUCCUUCGGGACAGGAAACUAGGUGCUGCAUGGUUGUCGUCAGCUCGUGCCGUGAGGUGUUGGGUUAAGUCCCGCAACGAGCGCAACCCCUAUGUUUAGUUGCCAGCAUGUAAUGAUGGGGACUCUAAACAGACUGCCAGCGUAAGCUGUGAGGAAGGUGGGGACGACGUCAAGUCAUCAUGGCCCUUACGUCCGGGGCUACACACGUGCUACAAUGGAUGGUACAGCGGGCAGCUACCUGGUAACAGGAUGCUAAUCUCGAAAAGCCAUUCACAGUUCGGAUUGAGGUCUGCAACUCGACCUCAUGAAGUUGGAUUCGCUAGUAAUCGCGUAUCAGCAAUGACGCGGUGAAUACGUUCCCGGGCCU